rfam:Gossypium raimondii chromosome 13, whole genome shotgun sequence.
AAUCCAUGCAUUGGACAUUUUUGAAUUAACUCUUUAAAUUGGUCCCAAGCUUCAUAUAGUGUUUCAUCCUCUGAUUUCCAAGAAGAUGCGAUGUCAUUUCUAAGCUU